AGAGAGAGACAUGCGUGCAUAUCAAUAAGCGGAGGAAAAGAAACUAACAAGGAUUCCCUUAGUAACGGCGAGUGAAGCGGGAAGAGCUCAAAUUUGAAAUCUUCAAGGUUUUACCUUGACGAAUUGUAGUUUAAAGAAGUGUUUUCUGCUGAAGUUUUGGUAAAAGUUCUUUGGAAUAGGACAUCAUAGAGGGUGAGAAUCCCGUAUUUGACCAUUAUUUUCAGCUUUGUGAUACACUUUCAAAGAGUCGGAUUGUUUGGGAAUGCAGUCCAAAAUGGGUGGUAAAUUUCAUCUAAAGCUAAAUAUUGGCGAGAGACCGAUAGCGAACAAGUACCGUGAGGGAAAGAUGAAAAGAACUUUGAAAAGAGAGUUAAACAGUACGUGAAAUUGUCAAAAGGGAAGCGUUUGACACCAGUGUUGUUUUCUCGAAAAUCAAUUAAAAAUGGCUCGAUUUUGUAUUGCUUGAGACCUUAAAAGCUCACUGUACAUUUUUCGUGUCUUUUUUAAUGCACUUUUCGUUUAACAAGUCAACAUCAGUUUCUUUUGUUGUAAAAGGGUCAUUGGAAGGUGGCUUUCUUUUCGGAGAAAGUGUUUAUAGCCUUUGGCCUCUGCAAUCGGAGAGACUGAGGUCUGCAGCGUAGACUCUUCGGGGUUAGAUACAUUUGUGCUAAGUUAUAGCUUUUUAUAGACAACUUGUUGACUAUAAUUAGUCUUGUAGCUUACUCGCUUAUGCUAUUUUACCUACGCUAGGAUGUUGAGUCGUAGAGCACGCAG
rnacentral:rRNA from 1 species